rnacentral:rRNA from 1 species
GAUGAACGCUAGCGGCAGGCUUAACACAUGCAAGUCGAGGGGCAGCAUAAUGGAUAGCAAUAUCUAUGGUGGCGACCGGCGCACGGGUGCGUAACGCGUAUGCAACCUACCUUUAACAGGGGGAUAACACUGAGAAAUUGGUACUAAUACCCCAUAAUAUCAUAGAAGGCAUCUUUUAUGGUUGAAAAUUCCGAUGGUUAGAGAUGGGCAUGCGUUGUAUUAGCUAGUUGGUGGGGUAACGGUUCACCAAGGCGACGAUACAUAGGGGGACUGAGAGGUUAACCCCCCACACUGGUACUGAGACACGGACCAGACUCCUACGGGAGGCAGCAGUGAGGAAUAUUGGUCAAUGGACGCAAGUCUGAACCAGCCAUGCCGCGUGCAGGAUGACGGCUCUAUGAGUUGUAAACUGCUUUUGUACGAGGGUAAACGCAGAUACGUGUAUCUGUCUGAAAGUAUCGUACGAAUAAGGAUCGGCUAACUCCGUG